UUUACAACGAUGCCUGAGGGGAUGUGCUUCAGCACCACGCAGUUGCUGGUUUUGUUGGUUGCCUGGCCCCCUGGACCGUGUCCUUUCACAAACUGCUCUUCGAGUUCAUUCUCAUCCAAGGAAAGCAGUGCAGGGUAGUCCUUCUUGCCUGCCAUCUGGACCGGAGUGACAGCUAUUCCUGGGGAUAACAACGUCAGCUUCUCCCAAAGCCGGAGUCCCCAUGGCGCCGGGCAUAUUCGGUUUCAUGGAUUUGAAUGUGAACAUCUGUUCCCUGGACGCACUGCCAACAACGUGGUCCAACUGGUACUCAUCGUUGGAACUACCAAGUCAACUAAUUUUUUUUUUUUUUUUGAGACAGAGUCCCACUCUGUCGCCCAGGCUGGACUGCAGUGGCGCGAUCACAGCUCACUGCAGCCUUGACUUCCCCAGGGUCAGGCGAUUCUGUCACCUCAGGCUCCCUAGUAGGUGAAGACUACAGGCAGACACCACCACAUCUGAGUAAUUACUUUUUGUAGAGAUGGGGUUUCGCCAUAUUGCCCAGGCUGGUCUUGAACUCCCUAAGGUCAAGUAAUCCACCUGCUUCAGCCUCCCAAAGUUCUGGGAUUACAGGCGUGAGCCACUGCAUCCAGCCAGUCAACUUUUAAUAAGGUCCUUGUUAGGUACAGUAAGGGACAUGAGAUGAAAAAGAGCUGGACUGUCUUCUUGGAGCUUACAGGUUAGUUAGAGAAGAUAUUAAAAGACAGAUGAGAUGGGCCUAGACUCUCUGCCUACAUCUUUCUCCAGUGCUGGAUGCUCCCUGCCCUUGAACAUCAGACUCCACGUUCUUCAGUUUUGGGACUCAGACUGGCUCUCCUUGCUCCUCAGCUCUAGACAGCCUAUUUUGGGACCUUGUGAUCAUAAUUUAUUUGCAUGGGAGCUCCUGGGAUCAUAGCAGACAGGAGGCAGGACUAGAUUGUAGCUUCAGACAGAGCAGCAUGCAGAGGCUUGCAUUGUGAAUUUUAGCUCUAGAUCAACUGCAAGAACAAACCAGCAAUCCUGAGAGGACCCACAGACCCUCUGAAGGAAGCGGAUUGCUCCUGCAGGGCCCGGGAGACCCCCAAAUACUGUGAGUGCCCCAACUGUGGAAGUGGGAAAGGGAGAUCCUCCUCUCCCGAACACACACCCCCCCACUGGAGAGGCUGAAGGUCUGUUUGCAGGAGAAAUUUCCAACUUUACCUGGAGCUAAGUCAGACUCAGCAGAGCGAACUACAGGGGUAGAGGAAGCAGCAGAAAGGCCGUGGGAGCUCGCUGGGUCCCCAGAAGGCCCAUUCCUGCCUGGCACCACAGGGAUCCAUCGGGAGGGUGGCCAGAGGAGCAAGGGAUAAAACUCCACAGGGAGAAGAAUUCUCUAGUCGAACUUCGUAACAAUUUAAACAGGGUGAGAAGCCUCCUGGCCAGAACUUGGGCAACUGCACGAAUCCAGCAUGCAGACUUCACAGGUGGGGGAAGAACUACAGCCCUUUUCUUUCGCUGCUGGGAGGGGCACAGCCUUGGGGCAAAUUUUCAAGCCAGUCUCACCCUCUGCCUGGAAACAGACUCGGGGCAGUUGUGGGGGAACACGGUGGGAGUAAGACCGGCCCUUGGGUUUGUGUGGGAGCUGGGUGAGGCCUGUGACUGCCAGCUUUCCCCCACUUCCCUGACAACCUGCAUGACUCAGCAGAGGCAGCCAUAACUCUCCUAGGUACACGACUCCAGUGACCUGGGAAUCUCACCCACAUUCCCUACAGCAGCCGCAGCAAGACCCGCCCAAGGAGAGUCUGAGCUCAGACACGCCUAGCUCCACCCCCACCUGAUGGUCCUUCCCUAUGCACCCUGGCAGGAAGACAAAGGGCAAAUAAAUCUUGGGAGUUCUAGGGCCCCGCCCACUGCUGGUUCCUCCCCAUAUUACCACAGCUGAUGCUUUCUGGAAAGGACCACCUCCUGGCAGGAGGCCAACCAGCAAAAAAAAUAGACCAUUAACCCACCAAAGCUCCAUUGUACCCUCUGCCACCUCCACCGAACAGGCACUGGUAGCCAUGGCUGAGAGACCCAUAGAUGGUUCACAUCACAGGACUCUGCAGAUAACCUCCAGUACCAGCCUGGAACUGGGAAGAUUCGCUGGGUGGCUAGACCCAGAAGAGAGACAACAAUCACUGCAAGUUUGGCUCAUAGGAAGCCACAUCCAUAGGAAAAGGGGCAGAGUACUACAUGAAGAGAACACCCCAUGGGACAAAAGAAUCUGAACAGCCUUCAGCCCUAGACCUUCCCUCUGACAGAGCCUACCCAAAUGAACAAACCCUGGUAAUAUGACAAAACAAGACGCUUCAACACCCCCCAAAAAACAUACUAGUUCACUGGCAAUGGAUCCAAACCAAGAAGAAAUACCUGAUUUACCUGAAAAAGAAUUCAGGAGGUUAGUUAUUAAUCAGGGAAGGACCAGAGAAAGGUGAAGCCCAAUGUAAGGAAAUCCAAAAAAUGAUACAAGAAGUGAAGGGAGAAAUCACUCAGGGAAAUAGAUAGCUUAAAGAAAAAACAAUAAAAAAUUCAGGAAACUUUGGACACAUUUUUAGAAAUGCAAAAUGCUCUGGAAAGUCUCAGCAAUAGAAUUCAACAAGUAGAAUAAAGAAAUUCAGAGCUCGAAGACAAGGUCUUCAAAUUAACCCAAUCCAACAAAGACAAAAAAGAAUAAGAAAAUAUGAACAAAGCCUCCAAGAAGUCUGGGAUUGUGUUAAACGACCAAACCUAAGAAUAAUUGGUGUUCCUGAGGAAGAAGAGAAAUCUAAAAGCUUGGAAAACAUAUUUGGGGGAAUAAUCGAGGAAAACUUCCCCGGCCUUGCUAGAGACCUAGACAUCCAAAUACGAGAAGCACAAAGAACACCUGAGAAAUCCAUUGCAAAAAGAUCUUCAUCUAGGCAUAUUGUCAUCAGGUUAUCCAAAUGAGAGGUGACAAUGUGCUAGUAGCCCUCACUCGCUCUCGGCGCCUCCUUGGCCUCGGCAUCCACUCUGGCUGUGCUUGAGGAGCCCUUCAGCCCGCCGCUGCACUGUGGAAGCCCCUCUCUGGACUGGCCAAGGCCAAAGCGGGCUCCCUCCGCUUGUGGGGAGGUGUGGAGGGAGAGCUCGCGGGCCAGUGAGGGCUUGGCGGGCCCCGACCUAGGAGUGGCCGGCUGGUGCCGCCGGCCCCAGGCAGUGAGGGGCUUAGCACCCCGGCCAGCAGCUGUGGAGGGUGUGCCGGGUCCCCCAGCACUGCCAGCUCACCCGGGCUGUGCUUGAAUUCUCGCUGGGCCUCAGCUGCCUCCCCGUGGAGCAGGGCGUGGGACUUGCAACCCGCCAUGCCUGAGUCCCCCCCUCCCCCUGCCCUGCUCCCUCAUGGCCAGAGCCUCCCGGACGGGCGCCGCCCCCUGCUCUGCAACCAGUCCCAUUGACCGCCCAAGGGCUGAGGAGUGCGGGGGCAUGGUGUGGGACUAGCAGGCAGCUCCACCCACGGCCCCAGCAUGGGAUCCAGUAGGCAAAGCUAGCUGGACUCCUGAGUCGGGUGGGGACUUGGAGAACUUUUAUGUCUAGCUAAAGGUUUAUAAAUACACCAGUCAGCACUUUGUGUCUAGCUCAAGGUUUGUAAAUACACCAAUCAGCACCCUGUGUCUAGCUCAAGGUUUGUAAAUGCACCAAUCAGUGCUCUAUGUCUAGCUAAUCUAGUGGGGACUUGGAGAACUUUUGUGUCUAGCUAAAGGAUUGUAAAUGCACCAAUCAGCACUCUGUGUCUAGCUGAAGGUUUGUAAACACAUCAAUCAGUGCUGUGUCUAGCUAAAUCUAGGGACUUGGAGAACUUUUGUGUCUAGCUAAAGGAUUGUAAAUGCACCAGUCAGCACUCUGUGUCUAGCUCAAGGUUUAUAAACGCACCAAUCAGCACCCUGUCAAAACAGACCAAUCAGCUGUCUGUAAAAUGGGCCAAUCAGCUCUCUGUAAAAUGGACCAAUCAGCAGGAUGUGGGUGGGGUCAGAUAAGGGAAUAAACGCAGGCUGCCUGAGCCAGCAGUGCAACCCGUUCGGGUCACCUUCCACACUGUGGAAGCUUUGUUCUUUUGGUCUUUGUGGUAAAUGUUACUGCUGCUCACUCCUUGGGUCUGUGCUGCCUUUAAGAGCUGCAACACUCACUGCGAAGGUCUGCAGGUUCACUCCUGAAGUCAGCGAGACCACAAACCCACCAGAAGGAAGAAACUCUGGAUGCAUCUGAACAUCUGAAGGAACAAACUCUGGACACACCAUCUUUAAGAGCUGUAAUACUCACCAUGAGGGUCCGUGGCUUCAUUCUUGAAGUCAGCAAGACCAAGA
rnacentral:lncRNA from 1 species